CCCGCUCAGAAACUCAAAUGAAUUGACGGGGCCCGCACAAGCGGAGGAGCAUGUGGUUAAUUCGAUGAUACGCGAGGAACCUACCUGGGCUCGAACGUAAGAUGACUGUAGGUGAAAGCUUACAUCUCUUCGGAGCAUUUUACGAGGUGCUGCAUGGUUGUCGUCAGCUCGUGCCGUGAGGUGUCGGGUUAAGUCCCAUAACGAGCGCAACCCCUACCUUUAGUUGCCAUCAGGUAAUGCUGGGGACUCUAAAGGAACUGCCUACGCAAGUAGUGAGGAAGGCGGGGAUGACGUCAAAUCAGCACGGCCCUUACGUCCAGGGCUACACACGUGCUACAAUGGCCGAUACAGAGGGCAGCUACCUGGUGACAGGAUGCAAAUCUCCAAAGUCGGUCUCAGUUCGGAUCGGAGUCUGCAACCCGACUCCGUGAAGUUGGAUUCGCUAGUAAUCGCGCAUCAGCCAUGGCGCGGUGAAUACGUUCCCGGGCCUU
rnacentral:rRNA from 1 species